ensembl:lncRNA
UUAAAAUUCUACACUGUUCGCUCAAUUUCAGUUUGUGAAAAUAAGCCCUGAAUAGUGAAGCGACUCAUUGUACAAUCUAAAUCGCUGUGAAAUCUUUUCAGUGAAACAAAGGUUCAGCUUCAAACAGCUACACCCUCUGAGAAGUGCUACAAACUAAUUUUGUUUUUGAAAAUAUAUUUUGCAGCGAUUUAGAUGGUCAAAGUCAAACAGCUUUCCCAAAUGAUUAUCACAGCCAACGUUAGCGGGCCAUGGUCUUUCCAGUGGUUGGUACAGAAGUGGACUUCUGGUACAGAAGUGGACUUCAGCUCCUCUUGAUAUUCUGACACUGCUCUUCAGGGUUAUGUAUGCUGUGAAUGGGUGCCACCACUACCAGAUCGGUCCUUAUGCAGGAAGUGCAAUGGCCCAUCAUGGAGGGACUUGGGCAGGACCAGCUUGAAGAAAGAAUACUGUCUGACUGUUGCCUAAUCAUUUGCUGACCAGAUGAGACUCCUUAAGUUGAAGUGGCAUCAGCAUACUGUUGUCCUUGAUGCUCACCAUUUCUAUGUACUGUCACCAUUAAAGUCAUAAAUUGUUUACAAUUUUUACUGUUGCCAUCAGUGUUGCUUUUGCUUGCAUACUCAACUGCAGAAAUAUUACUUGAAAGCACUGAUUUUCAAAUGUAUUUCAUUUACCAAUCUAACUACCAA